CACGUAGGGGGCGAGCGUUGUCCGGAUUUAUUGGGCGUAAAGAGCUCGUAGGCGGUUUCGUAAGUCGGAUGUGAAAAUCCGGGGCUCAACCCCGGACUUGCGGUGGGUACGGGCAGACUAGAGUGUGGUAGGGGAGACUGGAAUUCCUGGUGUAGCGGUGAAAUGCGCAGAUAUCAGGAGGAACACCGAUGGCGAAGGCAGGUCUCUGGGCCACUACUGACGCUGAGAAGCGAAAGCGUGGGGAGCGAACAGG
rnacentral:rRNA from 1 species